GCUGGGGGGUGUGGGGUUUGGAAAUUGCACGUGCCUUUAUUAAACCCUAAACCCUUCCCUUAGCGGGCAAUUUGUGGGGUCUUUGUCCGGUGUUUCCCCCGUGCGGUUUAAAAAAGAAACGUCGACGCCCGGCGCGUGUGAUUUCCAAAGUCGACGACAUUUGCCCCCGAGAGGUUGUUGAGGGGGUGAGCUGCCGGCACCUGACAGGUGUCUCGCGGUUACUGGUUAUCCUCGCCUCUCAAGCACCCUCAUUUUU
rnacentral:telomerase_RNA from 1 species